rnacentral:lncRNA from 1 species
CAGCCUGCCCAGAAAGGGAAAAUACAAUUAAAAGAUCUAACUACACUAUCGUGGUCCUGGGAAAUGAAGACAGAAUGGUCAGGUGGAAGGAAGAAUCCCGUCAGGCUUUUAGGAACUCAAUCCUGCGCCUCUCACUACCAUCCCGCCUCUCUGGAUUACCUUUUCCAACAUAUAGGGCUAAGCUAUGGACUACAGCCCAUCCUCCUACUUCCUGAAGUUCAGAGCGUGAUCUGAGGCAGACACUUGGCUGACCCCUAUACGAUGGGUUCCAACUCCUUCUACUCCAUUGCUGCCUACUACAGAGGCCUGAGUUUAAUGGUGCAUUUUCCCUUGCAGCU